UCCCUUCACUAUUACCACAAC
rnacentral:piRNA from 1 species